GGGCCCGCACAAGCAGCGGAGCGUGUGGUUUAAUUCGAUGCAACGCGCAGAACCUCACCUAGGCUUGACAUGCCGCAAGUAGAACCCUGAAAGGGGAACCACCCGUCAAAUCGGGAGGCGGCACAGGUGCUGCAUGGCUGUCGUCAGCUCGUGCCGUGAGGUGUUGGGUUAAGUCCCGCAACGAGCGCAACCCUCGCUGGUAGUUACCAUGUCUACCGGGACCGCCGGUUUCAAACCGGAGGAAGGUGGGGAUGACGUCAAGUCAGCACGGCCCUUACGCCUAGGGCUACACACACGCUACAAUGGCCGGUACAACGGGACGCCAAGGGGUGACCCGGAGCUAAUCCCAGCAAAGCCGGUCUCAGUUGGGAUUGCAGGCUGCAACUCGCCUGCAUGAACGCGGAGUUGCUAGUAACCGCCGGUCAGCACACGGCGGUGAAUACGUUCCCGGGCCUU
rnacentral:rRNA from 1 species